UACGGGGGGGGCAAGCGUUGUUCGGAAUUACUGGGCGUAAAGGGCUCGUAGGUGGCCAACUAAGUCGGACGUGAAAUCCCUCGGCUUAACCGGGGAACUGCGUCCGAUACUGGUUGGCUUGAGUUUGGGAGAGGGAUGCAGAAUUCCAGGUGUAGCGGUGAAAUGCGUAGAUAUCUGGAGGAAUACCGGUGGCGAAGGCGGCAUCCUGGACCGGCAUUGACGCUGAGGAGCGAAAGCUAGGGGAGCAAACGGG
rnacentral:rRNA from 1 species